GCCCAGCUAGCUCAGUCAGUAGAGCAUGAGACUCUUCAUCUCAGGGUUGUGGGUUCAUGCCCCAUGUUGGGCG
rnacentral:tRNA from 1 species